CCUACGGGUGGCAGCAGUGAGGAAUAUUGGUCAAUGGACGCAAGUCUGAACCAGCCAUGCCGCGUGCAGGAAGACGGCGCUAUGAGUUGUAAACUGCUUUUGUACGAGGGUAAAUCCCGAUACGUGUAUCGGGUCGAAAGUAUCGUACGAAUAAGGAUCGGCUAACUCCGUGCCAGCAGCCGCGGUAAUACGGAGGAUUCAUGCGUUAUCCGGAUUGAUUGGGGUUAAAGGGUGCGUAGGCGGUUCGGUAAGUUAGAGGUGAAAGCCCGGGGCUCAACUCCGGCACUGCCUCUGCUACGGUCGGGCUAGAUUUUAGUUGCGGUAGGCGGAAUGUCUGGUGUAGCGGUGAACUGCAUAGAGCUCAUAC
rnacentral:rRNA from 1 species